AACGCACGAGACCUGCGGACCUGCGGAGGGAUCAUUAAAGUGUUUUGAUGCGGUGCGCCCCUCCAAGGGCGUGCCGCCAGAACCCCACCCUUGAUUACUGUACCGUCCGUUGCUUCGGCGGGGGCUACCCCCGGGUUUGUGCCCGCCGGAGGACCAUUUGAACUCUUUGUGAUAUUCGGCCGUCUGAGUGAUUUUUGAAUCGUUAAAACUUUUAGCAAUGGAUCUCUAGAUCGGAAGAGC
rnacentral:misc_RNA from 1 species